rnacentral:rRNA from 1 species
AGUGAACGCUGGCGGUAGGCCUAACACAUGCAAGUCGAACGGCAGCACAGUAAGAGCUUGCUCUUACGGGUGGCGAGUGGCGGGCGGGUGAGGAAUACAUCGGAAUCUACUUUUUCGUGGGGGAUAACGUAGGGAAACUUACGCUAAUACCGCAUACGACCUACGGGUGAAAGCAGGGGAUCUUCGGACCUUGCGCGAUUGAAUGAGCCGAUGUCGGAUUAGCUAGUUGGCGGGGUAAAGGCCCACCAAGGCGACGAUCCGUAGCUGGUCUGAGAGGAUGAUCAGCCACACUGGAACUGAGACACGGUCCAGACUCCUACGGAAGGCAGCAGUGGGGAAUAUUGGACAAUGGGCGCAAGCCUGAUCCAGCCAUACCGCGUGGGUGAAGAAGGCCUUCGGGUUGUAAAGCCCUUUUGUUGGGAAAGAAAAGCAGCAGGUUAAUACCCCGCUGUUCUGACGGUACCCAAAGAAUAAGCACCGGCUAACUUCGUG